rnacentral:rRNA from 1 species
AUUGAACGCUGGCGGCAGGCCUAACACAUGCAAGUCGAACGAGUGGCGGACGGGUGAGUAAUGUCUGAGAAACUGCCCGACGGAGGGGGAUAACUACGGGAAACGGUAGCUAAUACCGCAUACAGUCGGAUGUGACAGGAUGGGAUUAGCUAGUAGGUGGGGUAACGGCUCACCUAGGCGACGAGCCCUAGCUGGUCUGAGAGGCUGACCAGCCACACUGGAACUGAGACACGGUCCAGACUCCUACGGGAGGCAGCGGUGGGGAAUAUUGCAAAAUGGGCGCAAGCCUGAUGCAGCCAUGCCGCGUGUAUGAAGAAGGCCUUCGGGUUGUAAAGUACUUUCAGCGAGGAGGCGUUACUCGCAGAAGAAGCACCGGCUAACUCCGUGCCAGCCGCCGCGGUAAUUC